rnacentral:rRNA from 1 species
AGAGCCUUUUCCUGGCUCAGGAUGAACGCUGGCGGCGUGCUUAACACAUGCAAGUCGAACGAAGCGCUUAAAUGGAUUUCUUCGGAUUGAAGUUUUUGUGACUGAGUGGCGGACGGGUGAGUAACGCGUGGGUAACCUGCCUCAUACAGGGGGAUAACAGUUAGAAAUGACUGCUAAUACCGCAUAAGACCACAGCACCGCAUGGUGCAGGAGCAAAAACUCCGGUGGUAUGAGAUGGACCCGCGUCUGAUUAGGUAGUUGGUGGGGUAACGGCCUACCAAGCCGACGAUCAGUAGCCGACCUGAGAGGGUGACCGGCCACAUUGGGACUGAGACACGGCCCAAACUCCUACGGGAGGCAGCAGUGAGGAAUAUUGGUCAAUGGACGAGAGUCUGAACCAGCCAAGUAGCGUGAAGGAUGACUGCCCUAUGGGUUGUAAACUUCUUUUAUACGGGAAUAAAGUGGAGUAUGCAUACUCCUUUGUAUGUACCGUAUGAAUAAGGAUCGGCUAACUCCGUGCCAGCAGCCGCGGUAAUACGGAGGAUCCGAGCGUUAUCCGGAUUUAUUGAGUUUAAAGGGAGCGUAGGCGGGUGCUUAAGUCAGUUGUGAAAGUUUGCGGCUCAACCGUAAAAUUGCAGUUGAUACUGGGUACCUUGAGUGCAGCAUAGGUAGGCGGAAUUCGUGGUGUAGCGGUGAAAUGCUUAGAUAUCACGAAGAACUCCGAUUGCGAAGGCAGCUUACUGGACUGUAACUGACGCUGAUGCUCGAAAGUGUGGGUAUCAACCAGGAUUAGAUACCCGGGUAGUCCACACAGUAAACGAUGAAUACUCGCUGUUGGCGAUACACAGUCAGCGGCCAAGCGAAAGCAUUAAGUAUUCCACCUGGGGAGUACGCCGGCAACGGUGAAACUCAAAGGAAUUGACGGGGGCCCGCACAAGCGGAGGAACAUGUGGUUUAAUUCGAUGAUACGCGAGGAACCUUACCCGGGCUUAAAUUGCAUUUGAAUAUAUUGGAAACAGUAUAGUCGUAAGACAAAUGUGAAGGUGCUGCAUGGUUGUCGUCAGCUCGUGCCGUGAGGUGUCGGCUUAAGUGCCAUAACGAGCGCAACCCUUAUCUUUAGUUACUAACAGGUCAUGCUGAGGACUCUAGAGAGACUGCCGUCGUAAGAUGUGAGGAAGGUGGGGAUGACGUCAAAUCAGCACGGCCCUUACGUCCGGGGCUACACACGUGUUACAAUGGGGGGUACAGAAGGCAGCUACCUGGUGACAGGAUGCUAAUCCCAAAAGCCUCUCUCAGUUCGGAUCGAAGUCUGCAACCCGACUUCGUGAAGCUGGAUUCGCUAGUAAUCGCGCAUCAGCCAUGGCGCGGUGUAUACGUUCCCGGGCCUUGACACACCGCCCGUCAAG